rnacentral:rRNA from 1 species
UACGAAGGGGCUAGCGUUGCUCGGAAUGACUGGGCGUAAAGGGCGCGUAGGCGGAUGGCACAGUCAGAUGUGAAAUUCCCGGGCUUAACCUGGGGGCUGCAUUUGAUACGUGUUGUCUAGAGUGAGGAAGAGGGUUGUGGAAUUCCCAGUGUAGAGGUGAAAUUCGUAGAUAUUGGGAAGAACACCGGUGGCGAGGGCGGCGACCUGGUCCUUGACUGACGCUGAGGCGCGAAGCGUGGGGAGCAAACAGG